CCAGUCCAUGGAGUCAGCUUGGCUCAUAGUUAGAUUCACUUCCUGCCCUCUUUUUAACAAGUUUAGGAUGAUAAUAAUGACACCAUGAUGGAGAUAAUGCAGAAAUUGAUUCCAACAUGAUCUAGAAUUGAUGCUUGAUCUUGUGGCCAAGUGGGAGCAGCUGGAUAGGAAAGGCACAUUGCAUGCAAACAUGAGAAAAAUUAGAGAGGAGGAAUCCAACUUCAGGGAAUUAUAGACAACCAUAGCUUUAUGCUUGAGCUUUCAUUAUGUGAUCCAUAAAAUUUAUUACA
rnacentral:lncRNA from 1 species